rnacentral:rRNA from 1 species
UACGAAGGGGACUAGCGUUGUUCGGAAUUACUGGGCGUAAAGCGUGCGUAGGCGGUUCGCUGUGUCCGAUGUGAAAGCCCCGGGCUUAACCUGGGAAUGGCAUUGGAAACUGGCGGGCUUGAGUGCGGCAGAGGGGGGUGGAAUUCCGCGUGUAGCAGUGAAAUGCGUAGAGAUGCGGAGGAACACCGAUGGCGAAGGCAGCCCCCUGGGUCGACACUGACGCUCAGGCACGAAAGCGUGGGGAGCAAACAGG